CGGCGCAUGCGCCGCCAUGGAAGCGUGGAGCGUGGCUCGGUGCGCUUCUGCGCCGUGGGGUGCGCGAGCACGUGUGGUGAGGGGCAGUGCGGUAAAUACGGUAACGCCGCCUUUGCGGGAGAGCCCUCCCGCCCUUCUUCAGGGUCUUUCCCGGAAAGGAAGCUCCCAGGUGAGAGCUGGGCGCUGUUCGAGGAGUACCGCCUCCUGUGUCUGACUGCCCUGCCUGCCACAACGUCACCCCGCGCCUCGUCACCUCUGUGGCACUCGCUCGUCUAGGAAACAACACAUCAGUAAGCGGUGGAUUUUAAUUAUUUCCUGAGAUUGUCGAUCUUUGUAGAGCAGCGAAGAAGAUGCGGUUCAGGACACAGAGCUCUUUAAACACAGACAGACACGCACAGACCUUGCUUUUAUUGUCGCACUGUACAGAAAACACGAGAGUCACCGUGCAAGUGUCUCCAGGAAGGUGACGAUUCAUUUAAGACAUGGCUACAGCCCCUGCUGAAGCCAGGAGGAGUCGCCCAAGCCACAAACUGUGAUCUGAUUCCAAGUGAAGCCUCAAAUCAUGAUGAGAUUGUACAUACAUCUUUGACUUGGAUUUUCUUAAAUUUAGAAUCUGAUUACUUCAAACUAUUCCAUUAAAUCAUGUAGGUCACAAGUUUAGUAUUUCUGGCUGGAUUUCAGCAGGGCCAGUGCCCUGAGAAACCCUGCAGGCCCAUGGGCUCGUUGCUGAGGACACUGCUCCCAAAAAACAGAAUCCUUUGUUUUUUCAAACCGUUCCACUAGAAAAUUGUACAUGCUAGCGAGACAACAUAGAAGGUAGCUCUUUUCCCUGUUGUCAAAACAUACAACCGUUUCUUUGACUAUCCCAGUGCUUCGGGUACUCCACAUAAAGUGGACUUCUUUAAUGUCCGGAUAACCUCUGACGUUAUUGAACUGAUAUUAAGCUCAAGAACGUUGGAAGUAAAAUUUUAAACCAGAUUAUUGUUAUACAGACAAUGGUUUAUCAAGUCAUCCUGAAACAGAUGAGAAAAAGCACGUACUGACUUAUUUAAAUAAAAUGCGUACCACAGUUUAAAAACUGUGGAGCAGAUUCUAAACACUGGAUGGGCUAGCUCCUAUUUAAUUUUGGUGCAGUGGUUGGAACCACGGGGCAUGAAUCACAGUGUGGAAUGCUUGUUUAGAAAACCCUCAGAGCCAAGGAAUCGGGCAGAUCCUGCCUGAGUUAAUCUGGUUUGUAUUCCGUAGCCUCUGCGUCACCUGAAGGCAGGUAACAUAACACCAGUUAGAGUAACGUCUAACUCUUGUUAGUCUCCUGUAGUUCCCACUGUUCUAGACACCACUAUAAGACGCAAAUAAUUACAGCAAUACAAAUUUGCACCAUGUCUCCCCUACUAUUUAAUACAAUUGCAUGGCCUGCAGAUGGUUCCCAGGGCACAGAUUCUGCAGUACGCUCACAGUGUCAGUGUAUAUCUCAUUAAAAAUAGAGAAGAUAACUCUAAUCAACUCCGAGUUAUGGAGCUCCAACUUUAUGAAUUGCUGCCAGUGUGAAAUCUAGGGAUUAAUUAACUUGAUCACUUUGAAGUUGAAAUAUGAUUACAUAAGUGAUAUUUGUUAGAGUAGAUUAUCUGAAGACUCUUAGACUGACUGUUUUAUGCUCUCGUUGGUUCCCCUUGGGGGGAUACCGCUGUUGUGAAAGUGUUGGUUCUUUUACUACACUUUAAAACUGUCCAUGGUGUUUAAUAACUUCUGACAAUUUAAAUAGACGUCUCCAAAGUCAUCCACACCUUACAAACACCAGUAGAACCUCUCUGUUCACUCAGAAGAAAAGUGAUGAGUCUGGGGAAUGUUUCUUAGGAUUCUUGGGAUUUGUCUGCAAAUAAAAUAACUGAGAAUCUACAUUUGAAAGGCUAAAUUAGAUUUGUUUACCAGAAAUAAAGACUGAAAAAUAUCACCAUAAGCCAUAUUACUUAAUGAUUCAGAGGAGAAAGAGUUGAGUUAACUUGAAGUCAGUGUGUAUUCAAGGAAACUUACGACACAUGGUUGAGAUCAGCAGUGUUGGAAACAGCUUCAACUCCACAGGGUACUGGGAACAAUAGCUGCGGACUGAAAAUAGAAUUACUCUCUUCAGGUAUAAAAUAUCACCUAAACAUGAUAUAUAACCUAUAAACAGCGUGAAACAUCCUCUCUCUCUGGAUCUUCUUUCUAAGUCCUUUCUGAUUAGGAACAUGUGCUGCACAGUACUUUGCUGUGCAGAGAAAGAUAAAAGUGCUCUGAUAUCCAGUUGGAUUUGCUCAGUGGUUUAGGCAGUGGGAUCAAACACUGUUCUUAGUGGCUAUAGACAGAACUAGGCAGUUAUCCACAAGCUUUAUAUGAAUCAAUUUUUGGAAAACAUACCUUAAAAUUGAAAUACAAGACUUCUUUCAAAUUGUAUGUGAACCAAAAGGAAAAAAAAAAGGUUUUUUUGACCUGCUGGAAAGAAACAAAAUAUACUGACAAUUACUGGAGUGGUACCUAAGCGGUCAGCUAUAUAAACUCACUUCCUUCUGUGGGUGGUUGGUUGGAACAUUUUAUUUUUAUCAGGUUGAAAGAGCUGUCUUCCCACAGUAGAAAAAAACCGUGUAUUUGCUGCUUUUUUGAUUCACACCUAGGUAGACUGCUGGAGCACGUGUCACAUGGCUGAGUCAUCAACGCUGCCGAUGCUUUUUAGACUGAGUCAUGCCGGUUGUCAGCAAGAGGGAAGAGAGUCUGAGAGUGACCCUACUCCUGAGAGCUUGUAGCUGAAAUCUAACAGUUCAAAGUUCAAAAUAACACAGCUGAUUUUGCUUUGAACAGGACAGGAAGCUACUUUACUGGCAUCUCAGAGAGGCAGGAGCUUGCAGAAUGAAGCUAAAACAAGGCAGAAAGAGACUCUGGAACUCAUGACACUGUCUGAGACCAUUCCCAGGUCAAAGCCAGAAUUUUAUGAGCAGUCAGUUUAUUGUCUCUGGAGGGCUUUAGAUCUGGUAUGGCUCAGUGACAGUGCUGAGCAAUCUCUAAGCGUGGGUGAUGGAUAUUGGAUGCUGAGGUAACUGAUUUCCCAAACACACAACUGGAUUGGAAGCAAGGGGGAAAGUGAAAAUCCAACAAGAAUCAUGAUGAAAGAGAAAGUACAUUGCUUGAACGUGAUCAGAAGGAGGAUAGCUAGAGGCCCUGCUUUUGGACCACAGAUGUGGGAAGAGGCAUCCUACUUAGUCAUUCCGACAUAGCUACAGAAGGUCUGUAGUAUAGCACUACAUACAUGCAAUACCCAGAUGUGCUAGAAUAUGAUUGCCUUUUCCAAAGUUUUGAACCAGUUUAUACCAGCAGAUCCAAUUUACACCAGCAAAGAACUCUGUACUCUGCAGCAACUGCAUUUUUCUAUUCUACAUCUGUUUGCCUUAAAAAAAAAAAAACAGAUAUACAAACCUGUAACUGGAAAGUAAGUGUUAACCAAUGGAGUUACACACUGUAA